UACGGGGGGUGCAAGCGUUGUUCGGAAUUACUGGGCGUAAAGGGCUCGUAGGCGGCCAACUAAGUCCGACGUGAAAUCCCCAGGCUUAACCUGGGAACUGCGUCGGAUACUGGAUGGCUUGAAUUCGGGAGAGGGAUGCAGAAUUCCAGGUGUAGCGGUGAAAUGCGUAGAUAUCUGGAGGAAUACCGGUGGCGAAGGCGGCAUCCUGGACCGACAUUGACGCUGAUGAGCGAAAGCUAGGGGAGCAAACGGG
rnacentral:rRNA from 1 species